rnacentral:rRNA from 1 species
GUGCCAGCAGCCGCGGUAAGACGAACCGUGCGAACGUUGUUCGGAAUCACUGGGCUUAAAGGGCGCGUAGGCGGGCCGCCAAGUCCGCGGUGAAAUCCCCCGGCUCAACCGGGGAACUGCCGCGGAUACUGGAGGUCUCGAGGGGGGUAGGGGCAUGCGGAACUGCGGGUGGAGCGGUGAAAUGCGUUGAUAUCCGCAGGAACUCCGGUGGCGAAGGCGGCGUGCUGGACCCCUUCUGACGCUGAGGCGCGAAAGCCAGGGGAGCGAACGGGAUUAGAUACCCCGGUAGUCC